AAGUUGAACUAUUAGAAUAUUUAACUAGCUUUAAGUAGAAGUUUCAGUUACCUAAUAAUUUUUUGUGUUACUUCUUUUAUUACUUUCAUUUCUUCAUUGCAUAUUAAACAGCAAAAUGCGUGUAUUAUUUAAACCUCUUAAGGCUCUAAUCGCUUAGCACUUUAAAUGGUAAUGAAAUAAAAAUACUCCUUAGCUUAUUGUUUCAAACAACUCGAUCAUUUCGUAAACCAUCUUCUCCACGUACUCCGCUGGAACACAAACCCGGCAUUGUCUUAACGAGCUACGACGAAGACACCUGUUGCUAUUGACCCAUUCCCCGGUAGGAUUAAUUACUGCCAUUGCCAAUAUUAUUGUUUGUUACUCCAGUGGCUAAAGCAACGAGAUGAAAAGAUGGAAGUACUAACGCACUUGCCACGUGUCAUUUUACAAAUUUAACAACCUGCCAACGGUUUAGUGGUAUUUUUAAUGGAAAGAAAAACUAUUUCUGUCUUGUUUUAUUUUAUUGAUUGAAGAGUUAUCUCUUCAGAAAAUGUUAUUAAAAAUGUAGAAGUUAUUAAACAUGUUAACAUAUAAAGGUUUUUUUACAAGAAAAUGUAGUUAAAGUUAGUUUUGAAGAAAUUAUUAUUUCCACAUACCCUAGACUUUCUUAGUACAUUAAUGUACUCCCCCCAAAGGGUUCAUCUAUAUCUAUAAAAUUCUCGUGUCGCGGUGUUAGUGUGCAAACUCCUCCGAAACGGCUGAACCGAUUUGUAUGAAAUUUUCGAUGAACGUUCGUUACAUAUUAGAAUAGGUUUACCCCUACUUUUCGUUUCGCUAGGUGGCCUCUGGCGAAUAUUAUGAGUUCUUUUCUGUUUUUCCUACGGGAGUUAUCAAGUAUGCAUAGCCUAUCUUAUUUUUUUAAUAUUUUUUAUUCUUUUUAAUUUAAAGAAUUAUUUGAGUGAAAAAAAACUUAUUUCAAGCAAGUCGCAUUAACAUAUAUCACAUUUAUAAAUUUUGCUAUAUUGCUUAAACAUGAAGAAAAUUUUACAUUUUCUCAAACAGGGUAUCAGGGUAUGGAACUUGGUUCCUCGAAUAACUUCUGGCACAGAAAUCUGAGGGUAUGGCCGUCCAAGAAGAAAAUGUAGCCAUUAGUGCCAUCUACCGACCACAGGUUAAAGAUUGGCGAUCCGUUGAAUACCGACCAAGUUAUAGGCAAAACUUGGUGCAAAAAUGAAGAAAAUUUUACGUUUUCUCAAACAGGUUAUGGAACUUUGUUCCUCGAAUAAUUUCUGGCACAGACAUCUGAGGGUAUGGCCGUCCAAGAAGAAAAUGUAGCCAUUGGUGCCAUCUAUCGACCACAGGUUAAAGAUUGGUGAUCCGUUGGAUACCGACCGAGUUAUAGGCAAAACUUGGUGCAAAAAUGAAGAAAAUUUUACGUUUUCUCAAACAGGGUAAGGAACUUGGUUCCUCGAAUAACUUCUGGCACAGACAUCUGAGGGUAUGGCCGUCCAAGAAGAAAAUGUAGCCAUUGGUGCCAUCUAUCGACCACAGGUUAAAGAUUGGCGAUCCGUUGGAUACCGACCGAGUUAUAGGCAAAACUUGGUGCAAAAAUGAAGAAAAUUUUACGUUUUCUCAAACAGGGUAAGGAACUUGGUUCCUCGAAUAACUUCUGGCACAGACAUCUAAGGGCAUGGCUGUCCAAGAAGAAAAUGUAGCCAUUGAUGCCAUCUAUCGACCACAGUUUAAAGAUUGGCGAUCCGUUGGAUACCGACCGAGUUAUAGGCAAAACUUGGUGCAAAAAUGAAGAAAAUUUUACGUUUUCUCAAACAGGUUAUGGAACUUGGUUCCUCGAAUAAUUUCUGGCACAGACAUCUGAGGGUAUGGCCGUCCAAGAAGAAAAUGUAGCCAUUGGUGCCAUCUAUCGACCACAGGUUAAAGAUUGGUGAUCCGUUGGAUACCGACCGAGUUAUAGACAAAACUUGGUGCAAAAAUGAGGAAAAUUUGCAUUAUUUUUUGAAUUUUUUGAUUUUUUUAUUAUUUUUUACUCUUUUUUUCAUUUAAAGCAUUAUUUGAGUGAAAAGAAACUCAUUGCAACCAAUUGGCAUUAAAAUAAAUCAAUUUCAUUUUUUUUGAAAAUUUUCUCAAAAAAACGUAAGGGGUAAGCCUUAUGAAAUUUUCGAGUUGAAAAUUUUUUGAAAAUUUUUUUUGGAUUUUUUAUUCUUUAUUUAACUUAAAGCAUUAUUCGAGUGAAAAGAAACUUAUUGCAACAAAUUCGCAUUAAAAUAUAUCACAUUUAUAAAUUUUGCUACAUUGCUCAAAAAUGAGGAAAAUUUUACAUUUUCUCAAACAGGGUAAGGAACUUGGUUCCUCGAAUAACUUCUGGCACAGACAUCUAAGGGCAUGGCUGUCCAAGAAGAAAAUGUAGCCAUUGAUGCCAUCUAUCGACCACAGUUUAAAGAUUGGCGAUCCGUUGGAUACCGACCGAGUUAUAGGCAAAACUUGGUGCAAAAAUGAAGAAAAUUUUACGUUUUCUCAAACAGGGUAAGGAACUUGGUUCCUCGAAUAACUUCUGGCACAGACAUCUAAGGGCAUGGCUGUCCAAGAAGAAAAUGUAGCCAUUGAUGCCAUCUAUCGACCACAGUUUAAAGAUUGGCGAUCCGUUGGAUACCGACCGAGUUAUAGGCAAAACUUGGUGCAAAAAUGAAGAAAAUUUUACGUUUUCUCAAACAGGUUAUGGAACUUUGUUCCUCGAAUAAUUUCUGGCACAGACAUCUGAGGGUAUGGCCGUCCAAGAAGAAAAUGUAGCCAUUGGUGCCAUCUAUCGACCACAGGUUAAAGAUUGGUGAUCCGUUGGAUACCGACCGAGUUAUAGACAAAACUUGGUGCAAAAAUGAGGAAAAUUUGCAUUUUUUUUUUAAUUUUUUUAUUUUUUUAUUAUUUUUUACUCUUUUUUUCAUUUAAAGCAUUAUUUGAGUGAAAAGAAACUCAUUGCAACCAAUUGGCAUUAAAAUAAAUCAAUUUCAUUUUUUUCGAAAAUUUUCUCAAAAAAAACGUAAGGGGUAAGCCUUAUGAAAUUUUCGAGUUGAAAAUUUUUUGAAAAUUUUUUUUGGAUUUUUUAUUCUUUAUUUAACUUAAAGCAUUAUUCGAGUGAAAAGAAACUUAUU